UACCGCAUACGCCCUACGGGGGAAAGCAGGGGAUCGCAAGACCUUGCACUAUUAGAGCGGCCGAUAUCGGAUUAGCUAGUUGGUGGGGUAACGGCUCACCAAGGCGACGAUCCGUAGCUGGUUUGAGAGGACGACCAGCCACACUGGGACUGAGACACGGCCCAGACUCCUACGGGAGGCAGCAGUGGGGAAUUUUGGACAAUGGGGGAAACCCUGAUCCAGCCAUCCCGCGUGUGCGAUGAAGGCCUUCGGGUUGUAAAGCACUUUUGGCAGGAAAGAAACGUCAUGGGUUAAUACCCUGUGAAACUGACGGUACCUGCAGAAUAAGCACCGGCUAACUACGUGCCAGCAGCCGCGGUAAUACGUAGGGUGCAAGCGUUAAUCGGAAUUACUGGGCGUAAAGCGUGCGCAGGCGGUUCGGAAAGAAAGAUGUGAAAUCCCAGAGCUUAACUUUGGAACUGCAUUUUUAACUACCGAGCUAGAGUGUGUCAGAGGGAGGUGGAAUUCCGCGUGUAGCAGUGAAAUGCGUAGAU
rnacentral:rRNA from 1 species